UACGAAGGGGCUAGCGUUGCUCGGAAUCACUGGGCGUAAAGGGUGCGUAGGCGGGUCUUUUAAGUCAGAGGUGAAAUCCUGGAGCUCAACUCCAGAACUGCCUUUGAUACUGAGGAUCUUGAGUUCGGGAGAGGUGAGUGGAACUGCGAGUGUAGAGGUGAAAUUCGUAGAUAUUCGCAAGAACACCAGUGGCGAAGGCGGCUCACUGGCCCGAUACUGACGCUGAGGCACGAAAGCGUGGGGAGCAAACAGG
rnacentral:rRNA from 1 species